UAGAGGUAGCCUCUGUGCAUGUGUUAGGA
rnacentral:piRNA from 2 species